GACGAACGCUGGCGGCGUGCCUAAUACAUGCAAGUUGAGCGCUGAAGGUUGGUACUUGUACCAACUGGGUGAGCAGCGAACGGGUGAGUAACGCGUGGGGAAUCUGCCUUUGAGCGGGGGACAACAUUUGGAAACGAAUGCUAAUACCGCAUAAAAACUUUAAACACAAGGUUUAAGAUUGAAAGAUGCAAUUGCAUCACUCAAAGAAGAUCCCGCGUUGUAUUAGGUAGUUGGUGAGGUAAAGGCCCCCCAAGGCGAUGAUACAUAGCCGCCCUGAGAGGGGGUCGGCCACAUUGGGAAUUGGACACGGGCCAAGCUUCUUCCGGAGGCAACAGGUGGGGAUCCUUGGGCAUGGACCGAAGUCUUACCGGGCAACGCCGCGGUGAGUGAUGAAGGUCUCGGGUCGGUAAACUCUGUUGGUAGGGGAGAACGUUAUGUGUAGGUGACUGCUCAUCAAGUGACGGUACCUACCCAGAAAGGGACGGCUAACUACGUG
rnacentral:rRNA from 1 species